rfam:Glycine max cultivar Williams 82 chromosome 1, whole genome shotgun sequence.
AUGGAGCUUUGUUGGCAAACAUCCAUCCAUGGUUCUUGAAGAAGCAUGGAGAUAAAGGGGUGUGAGAGGGUCCUCACCACUCACACUCCUCCACUUAAAACAGUUUGUUUUGGCUUAGCUUUGGCUUCUCUAAUCAACAAGGGAUGUGUUCUAACAUUCUCUCUUGAGUGGCAGAAGCAGAUAUGCAUUCUCCAAAGGAGGAGAGGCUUUGGCUACAGCCUGGCAAACCGGCAAGUCACGAAAAGGCAAUGGACUCCAUUGGGGUCUC